UAAAAACAGAGGAGAAACAGGUUUUGGGAAAUGCAUCUUUUAGGAUCCUAAUUGCUUUUGCUUGACCAUGUAGGCUUGAAAAUAAUACUUGAAUACCAUCGAAUGUAACAGUUAAUUCAACAUGGUAUUUUAACUAUACCAUAUAUCAUUUUCUUCUAUCUUUGUUUUUAGAAUCUGAAUGAAUUGAAUAUUUUAUCUUAUUUUUAUGGCUUUCCUAUAUGUAUUUAGAUUAUUGUUGUAUAUUUUUUAAGACUUUUCUCAUUUUGAUCAGUAUCGAAAUGUUACAACUUUGCUUAGUUGUGAUUGCAGUGUUCAAAGGAGGCAACAAAAGGUAUGAAAGUUUCAUGUUAUCACACAAAAUUGCUGGGUAAAAGUAUUAUUUUUAAGAAAAUGCUUUCAUAGUAAUGUGUUGUAAUUCUCGGUGGGAAUGUUUGAGUGGGAUAUAAUAUAUAGCUUUAGUGCAUAUUAUCUAGGAUGCAGUUACUUUUGUUUUGACAUUAGCUUAUAACUGCUGUCUGCUUCAUAAAAUAUAUCAAACUAUUAAUUAUUGUCUUUUGAUAAAUUGGUGGCCUCUGUUUUUGAAGGAAGUAAUUUUUGUUUUUAUUCUACUGACAUAAUGUAUAAACUGCUUUUGAAAAUAAAUCUGCUCUGACUAAGAACAAGGUUGAACUUUCAAUAUUGAAAAAAAAAAUAAGAAAGCGCACUUGAAGAUGUGCAAUACCUAAAAGGUACUAACAUAUACAUAUUACAAAAUCACAAUCUAUGCCCCAAAACUUCGAAGUUGGCCAUAAUUUACAUACAUACAAAUACGAAUAAUAUUUUCUUUACAAUGACUUGGAUGACUUGAUAGCAAGCACCAUCUCCUUAGGCUUCUAUUUUAGUUUCUUAUUUAUUGAUAAGUUUUCGGUAUAUAUUUAUGUGUAUUUUCUAUUUGUCAAUUGUUUAUUAUGCAGUAUUGGAUACCUGUCUUAGUUGCUGAGAAUUUGAAGAGUGUUUAAACCUAUGCUGUAAAUUAAUUGCUUGCUAUAUAUGUGUAUAUAAUAAUGUUAUGGAUGCUAUGUUGAACAUAUUAGUAAAAUAAGAAUAUUAUAAAGUAUAUUUUGAGUC